GAUGAACGCUGGCGGCGUGCCUAAUACAUGCAAGUCGAGCGAACAGACGAGGAGCUUGCUCCUCUGACGUUAGCGGCGGACGGGUGAGUAACACGUGGAUAACCUACCUAUAAGACUGGGAUAACUUCGGGAAACCGGAGCUAAUACCGGAUAAUAUAUUGAACCGCUUGGUUCAAUAGUGAAAGACGGUUUUGCUGUCACUUAUAGAUGGAUCCGCGCCGCAUUAGCUAGUUGGUAAGGUAACGGCUUACCAAGGCAACGAUGCGUAGCCGACCUGAGAGGGUGAUCGGCCACACUGGAACUGAGACACGGUCCAGACUCCUACGGGAGGCAGCAGUAGGGAAUCUUCCGCAAUGGGCGAAAGCCUGACGGAGCAACGCCGCGUGAGUGAUGAAGGUCUUCGGAUCGUAAAACUCUGUUAUUAGGGAAGAACAAAUGUGUAAGUAACUAUGCACGUCUUGACGGUACCUAAUCAGAAAGCCACGGCCAACUACGUG
rnacentral:rRNA from 1 species